UUUUUCACAUUUUUAUUUCGAUUUUAUUUUUGUGGUUUAGAUUUUAUUUUAAAUUGUUAAUAUUUUAGUUUUUAGUAGUUUUCAAAAUUAAGAAAAAAAUCAUAAAAUAUCUCUCUCCUAUCGAAUCACCAUGUGACACUUGGCUUUUUUUUUUUUUUUUUAAAUUUGGUUAAUUUAGACGAUGAAAUAUGAGACAUGUGGCCUUGAGAUAUUUUUUUCCUCUUUUUCUCCUCUCCCACGUUUUCUUUCCUUGUC
rnacentral:lncRNA from 1 species